UUGUGGUAUUUAAUUCGAAAAGGUAGUUGGUUACAUUACUUGUACCCGCCAAAUAUAGUGGGAUGAUAAUAACGUGUUACUUUGUACCACUUUACUACCAACACUGUUGUUCAGUGGCCUCCCUCCAUCUUGAAUUUCCAAGCCCCCCUCUAUCUUACGGUGAUCUAGAGCAGAUUCCUCUGACGAGCAGAGAUUCCUCUGCCCUAUUCUACCCCAUUUAUAAACUAUUACAAAUAUUUACGAAACACUUCAACGGAAAAAUCAGACGCAAACACAAUCUUGCAGAUAACAUGGGGCAAUUCCGAGAAGCUUUAAAUGAGGAUUAAGCGUGAGUUAAUGAAUCAGUGACAUUCUGUACGCCGAUUCAACACCCAGCGCAAGACUAUAACAAAAAAACUGCUUAUCACUAAAUUAAACUGUCAACAAAAUACCUGCAAAUGAAAGCUGUGGGGAAAAAAAACAUAAUUUACAACCUUAACAGAAACGUCUCUCUUUUAUUGUACAGACUGCUGCAGCUGGAAAAUAAAUGAAUAAUGGAAUAAAGUUAUAGAAAUGAGGAGGAGAUCCUAACCGUGUCCAAUAAUCUGUUUCUAUGUCACUGAAGUGCCUGACACAUGGCGGCUUUAUGCCGGAUGUGGCUCCGGGAACCAUAAACGAUACCGACCAGGAAAUCUGGACCUUCCCGUUCCUACGUUCGGCACGGAGAGUCAGCCGGAAUUCCGAAUUCCAGACCAAAGGGAUGAAAGCUAGACGAACAGACCCAGAACGCGCGCGGGGGGAAACGUCAACCGUCGACGGCAAAACGCAGUAGCGUUCAAGGCUAUGCUACUGGGAUGAAGUCUCCAUGACAACGGAUGAGGAACCCAGCAGGCGGCGCAUGACGACGCAGGGAUCAGCUCCAGGCUAAAUACAACCCAGUACUGGUAUGGAGCCUGUUACGUUGUGUCAAGGAGCUCAACAUCUCCAUUAUAGCACAUCUGCCGUGGCCAUGCUGGGAAUGUGUGCGGUAAAUCAACAGAGCAAGGCAAUGAAUGUCAGCUACAGCCAAGGCCUCUCUUCAGAGAUCUGAGGGUUGUAAUGAAGUUACUCCUGUCUCCGAGGGUCUGCAUCGACCUGUUAGCAUCCGUAUCAAGGGGCCAGACCCUCGCCCUUAACCUUCAGCACUGGCUGCUAUGACGGACGCCACAAGAUGGCGGGAUCAGCGAUCGAUGGCUGCACGGCAUCCGAUACGUGGGAGACGACACGCUGUCACCCAGCGAUCAGCUUCCGCAGAGUUUUGCUUUACCAGAAGGGGCCAGAUGAAGUGGUACCGUGAGCGCAGGUGUCCGAUCUGCGUGGAUUCGCAGUUUAAUUUCUCUGGACUAUGGGGGAAAAUGUAGAAACACCUUUGCCCUUUUACUGCCUUAUCAGACUCCCCCCCCCCCCCCAUCCCGGCUCCCAAGACCAUUUCUCAUGCUUCAUUUAUCCAGCUGCAUUUUUAUUGAGGUAUUUCGGGAUUACCGGGGCCCAGUCUGCAACUACUGCGCUUCUUAAACAUCAUUUCAACAAGGAAACCCUCCAGGCACAGGGAAAUUAGUUUUUUUUUUCCCUUCUCAACUCAUAAUUAUAUCAAGUCAUGAACGAGGCAGAGGCUGAAAUUAACCACAUUCAUCUGAAAACUCAACAAGCUCGACAUUUAAAACUGUGGAGCUCAGGCUCACUGGAAAAAGACAUCUGGUGGUUCAAACCGAUAGCUUGCAAACUCGGUGCCUCGCGCUGACCUAAUUAUUAAAGCAUGACAUGACUUAGCUGUUUGACAUUCUUCAUAUAAUAAAAACAUCAAUCCAUCUUCCAUAAUUGCUCACAGUUAACUAACCGCUGACUGCUUCCCGCUUAGAGGGUCCCAGUUACCUGAAAAACGACAAUUAUGAACUAACAAAUUGCACGGAUUACUUGGGUUACUUCAUAGCUCAGGAAUAAUUAAUUGCAAAUAUAUCUAUACUAUUUAAGGUGCAUAGUAAUUUCAACCAAAGGACUGGUUGGAAAAGAUGAAGAAUGAGGUAAGAAGUCUUUGCAUCUGAGAUGUGGGACCAAUGAAGGCAACACCAACAACAAGGCCCAAGUCUGUUAAGACACUGUGAGCCUCUUCUCGUUGCAGAAUUGCCUAUUGAGCUGGACUGGCUGAGGGCAGAGACGGCCAAGUCAAACAGUCGUUGCCUUUAUUGCUUGCUAGUAGAGUGAGAUUUAUGUGCUCCUGAAACUCAUCCACCAGCAGGGGGGUCAGCACCUCCGGCCGGCUGGAUCACUGAUCAGGGGCUAUUUUUAUGCGGCAACAGCAUCGCAGCUGCGCGCUGAAUGCCAGCUCUCCGCAAAAUGUUCCAUGUGACCACCUCGUAUCCAAUCCGGCGGAUCAACCCGUCGCGUCGACCAAUCCCCAUCUCUGAAACAUAUGACUGUCAUUUAGCAUCGCAGCUCUGCGUGUAUCUCUAGUUAGUGUUAUUCAAAGGCGACAGACAGGCCAAAUGCAGAUUCCAUAGCCAGGGUGUCAUUUCCGGAGGGGGGGGGGAUUAUACGGUGGAAGGGAGACUGGGAUUGCGGACUCUGAAGAUUCCAAAGGAGAUGCCAAAUGAUGACAGCAGUCAGGGGCAAAUUAAAACUACAGUCAUUAAAAUGCUUUUUCUUGCCUUUGCCCUCCUCGACUACUAUUCCAGAACUGCAACAGAUGUAGGCAGGAGACCAAGACGUGGACAGACACUGCCCGUUCUACCUGCUCAAAAAAAAUGAUUCUAUCAGCUGAAAUGGUGCCCAGUAUGCUGUGUGUCUCCUGUUUCCGGUAAACAUUCCUGUCUUUGGUAUUUUUAUGCAGAUCUUGCAAGCUUUCAAUGUCAUGAAGAAAUUCCAGUGCCCUUUAAAGACUUUUCUUUUUAAGGUCGCCUGCUUGUGGACUCUGUAGUUCAGUAAUUGGCACAUGGUCUCUGUAGCCAGGAGUUUUGCUCCAAAGCUGUGUGGAGAACAAGCUGCACUCUUAAUUUUACCAUAAUAACAGCAUCGUAAAUUCCAAGCAAGUGAAUUGCAAUGGAAGGAUGAGAUAGAUGGUCCUGCUUCUUAAGGAUUGUGGUCUCUGGUCUGAUAAAUAUUCAACCACACUCACUCACCACACUGCCAACAUUACAUUUCAUAAGUCUGUGCUCAGGCAAAGGGUGUUACCUUUUAGCACAGUGACUUGAAGGAUAGAAUGAACAUCUUAUAGGACGAAAAGAAGGGAAUGUUUUAAAAGACAGUGUGGUUGAUGUCACGCGCGGUGAAGCUCUUCCCACAUCGUCGCCGCGCCAGGAAGAGUAAAAGAGGCGAAAGCCACAAACAUGAGAUUAUAUGAGCCCGUUUAUUAUACAGCUAUCCAGUAAAGCUAGAGGCUCUUGCUCUGAGAUGGAGCCCAAUAAACUCCAUUCCUCCCAGGAUCCAACAGAGGCUCUCGCACCCCCGUUUGACAGAAGACCAGAGGGACUUGAUGGUAGCCAGAUCCUCUGGGGCAUCAUGCUUCACUGGUAGCAGUUGGUCUGCACUCACAUAGAUUCUUAAUACCUUGCUAGUCUACUAACCCUUUCAGGAACCUGAGACAGUCCAACGCCAGGCACAAAGCGCCCUGCAUUUUACGAUUAAGACCUUAAUAUAGCAAUAAAAAAAAAUCAAUAUAAAAUAAAAUGACUGAAUGUGCACGUUGUUUGC